UACAGAGGUCUCAAGCGUUUGUUCGGAUUCAUUGGGCGUAAAGGGCGCGUAGGCUGCGGGGCAAGUCGGGUGUGAAAUCUCAGAGCUCAACUCUGAAACUGCACUCGAUACUGCUUGCUUGAGGACUGGAGAGGAGAUUGGAAUUCACGGUGUAGCAGUGAAAUGCGUAGAUAUCGUGAGGAAGACCAGUGGCGAAGGCGGAUCUCUGGACAGUUCCUGACGCUGAGGCGCGAAGGCCAGGGGAGCAAACGGG
rnacentral:rRNA from 1 species